rnacentral:rRNA from 1 species
CCUACGGGAGGCAGCAGUGGGGAAUAUUGGACAAUGGGGGGAACCCUGAUCCAGCCAUGCCGCGUGUGUGAAGAAGGCCCUCGGGUUGUAAAGCACUUUCAGUGAGGAAGAACGCCUGGUGGUUAAUACCCAUCAGGAAAGACAUCACUCACAGAAGAAGCACCGGCUAACUCCGUGCCAGCAGCCGCGGUAAUACGGAGGGUGCGAGCGUUAAUCGGAAUUACUGGGCGUAAAGCGCGCGUAGGUGGCUUGAUAAGCCGGUUGUGAAAGCCCCGGGCUCAACCUGGGAACGGCAUCCGGAACUGUCAAGCUAGAGUGCAGGAGAGGAAGGUAGAAUUCCCGGUGCAGCGGUGAAAUGCGUAGAGAUCGGGAGGAAUACCAGUGGCGAAGGCGGCCUUCUGGACUGACACUGACACUGGGGUGCGAAAGCGUGGGUAGCAAACAGGAUUAGAUACCCUUGUAGUC